GACGGAGGGUGCAAGCGUUGUUCGGAAUUACUGGGCGUAAAGCGUGUGUAGGCGGCUAUGUAAGUCGGAUGUGAAAGCCCCGGGCUCAACCCGGGAAGUGCACUCGAUACUGCGUAGCUUGAGUCUCGGAGAGGUUGGUGGAAUUCUCGGUGUAGAGGUGAAAUUCGUAGAUAUCGAGAGGAACACCGGUGGCGAAGGCGGCCAACUGGACGAAGACUGACGCUGAGACACGAAAGCGUGGGGAGCAAACAGG
rnacentral:rRNA from 1 species